rnacentral:rRNA from 1 species
ACUACGUGCCAGCAGCCGCGGUAAUACGUAGGGGGCUAGCGUUAUCCGGAAUUAUUGGGCGUAAAGGGUGCGUAGGCGGUCCUACAAGUCAGAGGUGAAAGGCUACGGCUCAACCCGUAGUAAGCCUUUGAAACUGUAGGACUUGAGUGCAGGAGAGGAGAGUGGAAUUCCCAGUGUAGCGGUGAAAUGCGUAGAUAUUGGGAGGAACACCAGUUGCGAAGGCGGCUCUCUGGACUGUAACUGACGCUGAGGCACGAAAGCGUGGGGAGCGAACAGGAUUAGAUACCCUGGUAGUCCACGCCGUAAACGAUGAGUACUAGGUGUCGGGGGUUACCCCCCUCGGUGCCGCAGCUAACGCAUUAAGUACUCCGCCUGGGAAGUACGCUCGCAAGAGUGAAGCUCAAAGGAAUUGACGGGGACCCGCACAAGCAGCGGAGCAUGUGGUUUAAUUCGAAGCAACGCGAAGAACCUUACCUAAACUUGACAUCCCUUGGACCGCUCCUUAAUCGGAGCCUUCCCUUCAGGGACUGAGGUGACAGGUGGUGCAUGGUUGUCGUCAGCUCGUGUCGUGAGAUGUUGGGUUAAGUCCCGCAACGAGCGCAACCCUUGCCUUUAGUUGCCAUCAUUAAGUUGGGCACUCUAGAGGGACUGCCGAGGAUAACUCGGAGGAAGGUGGGGAUGACGUCAAAUCAUCAUGCCCCUUAUGUUUAGGGCUACACACGUGCUACAAUGGCUGGUACAGAGGGCUGCGAAACCGUGAGGUUAAGCUAAUCCCUUAAAGCCAGUCUCAGUUCGGAUUGUAGGCUGAAACUCGCCUACAUGAAGCUGGAGUUGCUAGUAAUCGCGGAUCAGAAUGCCGCGGUGAAUGCGUUCCCGGGUCUUGUACACACCGCCCGUCACACCACGGGAGUCGGGGGCACCCGAAGCCAGCUUUCUAACCUUUUGGAAGAAGCUGUCGAAGGUGAAGUCGAUGACUGGGGUG